rnacentral:rRNA from 1 species
ACGGGAGGCAGCAGUGGGGGAUAUUGCACAAUGGGGGAAACCCUGAUGCAGCGACGCCGCGUGAGUGAAGAAGUAUUUCGGUAUGUAAAGCUCUAUCAGCAGGGAAGAAAAUGACGGUACCUGACUAAGAAGCUCCGGCUAAAUACGUGCCAGCAGCCGCGGUAAUACGUAGGUGGCAAGCGUUGUCCGGAUUUACUGGGUGUAAAGGGCGUGUAGCCGGGUCGAUAAGUCAGAUGUGAAAUCCACGGGCUCAACUCGUGAACUGCAUUUGAAACUGUUGAUCUUGAGUAUCGGAGAGGUAAUCGGAAUUCCUUGUGUAGCGGUGAAAUGCGUAGAUAUAAGGAAGAACACCAGUGGCGAAGGCGGAUUACUGGACGACAACUGACGGUGAGGCGCGAAAGCGUGGGGAGCGAACAGGAUUAGAUGCCCUGGUA